rnacentral:tRNA from 1 species
GGGGCCUUAGCUCAGUUGGGAGAGCGCCCGCUUUGCAAGCGAGAGGUCGCCGGUUCGAGUCCGGCAGGCUCCACCA